rnacentral:lncRNA from 1 species
CCUAACCGAUCGUUCAGAUGCCAUAGCGUUGUUAGAUUGUCCUGUUCCAAUUCCUCCGACGAGCAUCCGUCCCAUUUACAGUCACCACAGUUGUCGUCGCCGCUGCUGAAGGAAUCGCUGUCCCCAGCGGCGGACUCUGUUUCGUACCUGCCGCCGACGGCGGCAGCAGCGGUGCUGGUGAAGAUUUGGAUCGCGGAGAGGUACGGGACGUAGUACUGUACCAACGUCUCGCCGUCGCCGUCGCCAUUCAGAGAGAUGGGGACUCCGGCGCCGUAAGCGCUCCACUCGUCGUAGCAGCUCCAGAGAUCGGCGAGGGUGAAAUACUCGACGGUGUCUCUCUCCCACGGGUGCCACAGCCGG